GAACAGGCCCCAAUUCGGGGGCCACCAAAAAAAAAAAAGAAAUUUUUU
rfam:Astyanax mexicanus chromosome 2, whole genome shotgun sequence.